GCCGCGAUAGCUCAGUUGGGAGAGCGUUAGACUGAAGAUCUAAAGGUCCCUGGUUCAAUCCCGGGUCGUGGCA
rnacentral:tRNA from 2 species